rnacentral:rRNA from 1 species
CGCAAGGGUGCGUAACGCGUGAGCAACAUGCCCGUAUCAGGGGGAUAAUCCAGGGGAAACUUGGUCUAAUACCCCAUAGUAAUUUUUGUAAGGCAUCUUAUAAGGAUUUAAAGCUUUGGUGGAUACGGAUUGGCUCGCGUGACAUUAGCUGGAUGGUAAGGUAACGGCUUACCAUGGCUAUGAUGUCUAGGGGUUCUGAGAGGAAGGUCUCCCACACUGGAACUGAGACACGGUCCAGACUCCUACGGGAGGCAGCAGUGAGGAAUAUUGGACAAUGGAUGGAAAUCUGAUCCAGCCAUGCCGCGUAGAAGGAAGAAGGUCCUAUGGAUUGUAAACUUCUUUUGUAUGGGAGCAAUAAGGCCUACGUGUAGGUUGAUGAGAGUACCAUACGAAUAAGCACCGGCUAACUCCGUGCCAGCCGCUGC